GGGUGGGGCGCAGCGACGGGCUAGGGGCGGGGCCUCCCCAGCCCUGGCGGGGAAUGGCGUCACGUGGCCGGCCGGACAAUGGGCCAUUCUUGACGCCGGGCCAAGGCCGGGCAGCUCCCAGGCGCAGCCAGGCCUCGGGGGCCCCGUGCCAGGGGAGCGAGGGCGCUUCCCGCCGCGGGGAGGAAAGGAGCGCGUGCAGCGCUCCAUGGACGUACCGAGAGGGACCGAGCAGCCCCGAACCCUCCCACGGCCUAGGCCAGUCGCCCGGUGGGACCGGCCGCAGGGGACACUAGGAAAUCCGCACGCUUGUCGACGCUGGUUGUUGACAUUUCUAGGGCACUUCCUGUCGUGGUGGGUUUGUCGCAAGGUCCUUGGCUAAAAUCAUUCCUCCCUAUUCUAUUAGUAGCAUUCACGUGGUGCCUGAGAACCCCCUCCCUGGAUUAGUACCUCAGUGUGCUAAAUGCUGUACAAACCCAUCGAAAAGAUAGUCCCUGUCUCAAAGAGUUUACAAUUCACAUUACAUUUUAAUUAAGAGAUUCUCAUGGACCAUCUCUUGUCCAACCCAUAAAUGCAUGGACCACCUUCUCUCAUGACUGCAUGAAAUCUGUGGGACAAUUUGCUUACACGGAAAAGUAGUACCAAUAAUAUUAUUGUAUUAUUAAAAUAAACACUAUUGCA